rnacentral:sRNA from 1 species
CGCCAUCGUCCUCACAGUCUUACACAGUGUGGGCCAUGUGGUGAAUGUGUACCUGUUCUCCAUCAGCCCCCUCAGCGUCCUCUCCUGCCUCUUUCCUGGCCUCUUCCAUGAUGAUGGGUCUGAGUUCCCCCAGAAGUAUUACUGGUGGUUCUUCCAGACCGUACCAGUUCCAGCUCCUCAGGAGGCUGAGGCAGAAGAAUCAUUUGAACCUGGGAGGCAGAGGUUGCAGUGAGCCGAGAUUGCACCAAUGCACUCC